CGGACAGAUGGGAGCUUGCUCCCUGAUGUUAGCGGCGGACGGGUGAGUAACACGUGGGUAACCUGCCUGUAAGACUGGGAUAACUCCGGGAAACCGGGGCUAAUACCGGAUGGUUGUUUGAACCGCAUGGUUCAAACAUAAAAGGUGGCUUCGGCUACCACUUACAGAUGGACCCGCGGCGCAUUAGCUAGUUGGUGAGGUAACGGCUCACCAAGGCRACGAUGCGUAGCCGACCUGAGAGGGUGAUCGGCCACACUGGGACUGAGACACGGCCCAGACUCCUACGGGAGGCAGCAGUAGGGAAUCUUCCGCAAUGGACGAAAGUCUGACGGAGCAACGCCGCGUGAGUGAUGAAGGUUUUCGGAUCGUAAAGCUCUGUUGUUAGGGAAGAACAAGUACCGUUCGAAUAGGGCGGUACCUUGACGGUACCUAACCAGAAAGCCACGGCUAACUACGUGCCAGCAGCCGCGGUAAUACGUAGGUGGCAAGCGUUGUCCGGAAUUAUUGGGCGUAAAGGGCUCGCAGGCGGUUUCUUAAGUCUGAUGUGAAAGCCCCCGGCUCAACCGGGGAGGGUCAUUGGAAACUGGGGAACUUGAGUGCAGAAGAGGAGAGUGGGCGAGACCGCAAGGUUUAGCCAAUCCCAUAAAUCUGUUCUCAGUUCG
rnacentral:rRNA from 1 species